rnacentral:rRNA from 1 species
GACGAACGCUGGCGGCGCGCUUAACACAUGCAAGUCGAGCGAGGACCGGGGCUUCGGCCCCGGGGACAGCGGCGAACGGGUGAGUAACACGUGAGUAACCUGCCCUCGGCACCGGAAUAGCCCGGGGAAACCCGGAUUAAUGUCGGAUGGCCCCUCUGCCCUGCGGGGCGGCGGGAAAAGGUAGCUUCGGCCUCCGGCCGAGGAUGGGCUCGCGGCGGAUUAGCUUGUUGGCGGGGUAACGGCCCACCAAGGCGACGAUCCGUAGCUGGUCUGAGAGGACGAUCAGCCACACUGGGACUGAGACACGGCCCAGACUCCUACGGGAGGCAGCAGUGGGGAAUCUUGCGCAAUGGGCGAAAGCCUGACGCAGCGACGCCGCGUGCGGGAAGAAGGCCCUCGGGUUGUAAACCGCUUUCAGGAGGGACGAAGCCACUCGGGUGAACAGCCCAGAGGGUGACGGUACCUCCAGAAGAAGCCCCGGCUAACUACGUGCCAGCCGCCGCAGUAACAC